AACGAACGCUGGCGGCAUGCCUAACACAUGCAAGUCGAACGAGACCUCCGGGUCUAGUGGCGCACGGGUGCGUAACGCGUGGGAACCUGCCCUUAGGUUCGGAAUAACUCCCCGAAAGGGGUGCUAAUACCGGAUAAUGUCUUCGGACCAAAGAUUUAUCGCCUUUGGAUGGGCCCGCGUUGGAUUAGCUAGUUGGUAGGGUAAAAGCCUACCAAGGCGACGAUCCAUAGCUGGUCUGAGAGGAUGAUCAGCCACUCUGGGAGUGGGACACGGCCCAGAAUCCUACGGGAGGGAGCAGUGGGGAAUAUUGGACAACGGGCGAAAGCCUGAUGCAGCAAUGCCGGGUGAGUGAUGAAGGCCUGAGGGUUGUAAAGCUCUUUUACCCGGGAUGAUAAUGACAGUACCGGGAGAAUAAGCUCCGGCUAACUCCGUG
rnacentral:rRNA from 1 species